rnacentral:rRNA from 1 species
UACGGCCACAUCAAGUUGAAACACCGCUUCUCGUACGAUCACCGAAGUUAAGCAACGUCGAACUUAGUCAGCACCAAGAUGGGUGACCGUUUGCGAAUACCAGGUGCUGUAA